GCAGAGAGGCUGACAAGGAGUCGCGGGCCCUGGCUCGGUGCAGACGCUGGGAACCGCGGGAGGACGAGGUCGGAGCAGAGAAGUGGACAUGUGCACUGUGGGCUGGCGGCGCCGCCGGGCGCCCGGGGCCGUGUGGGUGCACUAGACAGUGUGCGGGCUGCGCCGUGGCUGAGCCGUCUGCUGGGGCGGUGUGGUGAGGUGCGGUGAGCUCUACCCGACUGGCAAGAGGAGGAGGGCCUAGGUCCACACGCUAGGUGGCUGCUGUCCAGGCAGACCUACAUGGGAGGCGAAACCAUAAUGAGAAGGUUGUGUGGUGAGUAUGGAAUCAGAAUGAGAGCUUGUGGCCCCACUUUGAUAGCCCUGGCCUGUAAGGUGGCCUGAUGAUAACCAGCUGGCUGCAGCGACGCUCUUGCUAGAGCAUCACCAGGAUACCAGGAGCCCCCGUCUGCAGCCCCUGCCCUCCCCCGUCGCCAACCAGAUCAGAUCUGACCUGAGGGCGCAGGGUGGGCUCCCCUGUAGAUGGUGGAUGAGCCAUGCUUUGCGGCCUGCCUUUUCAUGCCCUCUCCCCAUAAAAAUCCUAUCAGUCAAUUAUUGGUAUAAAAAUAUGGUCCAAUGUGUCAUAUUGGCACAGAAGACGUUUUUGUCCCUUUAAAGCAGCUCUUUGUGUUGAAUCGUUUCGGGGCUGACCCGAAAACUCAACUCUUAGAUGCUAUUUCUUGCCUUUUAAAAUUGGGGUUGGGGGCAGUUCCUCGAGAGCGGACAACGGCCAGGAGAUGUUGCUGCAGAGUGGUAAGUGCCAAGCUUCCGUGGUGAAGGCAGGCCCAGGGCCAUGUGGUGAUGCUCUGAGAGGGGCCAUCCAGCAGAACAGAGGGGGAGUUGUGGCUGGCGUGGUUGGGGUAGUGGUCAUUUACUCCACGCCCACACGCCUCUGUAAAAUUGUUACCCGAACAGCCCCUCUUGUCCACAUGCACGCAGUCACAGUUGAUUGGACCAGACUGGACCCUUGAGCCUAGAGCACUGGUUCACCAAGCCUGGCUCCUGGAGUGCUUGCUGGGGAAUCACAGACCUUCUAAACCAUCGCCCUGGAGAGACAGGCGCAUGUCUCACAGGCACCCCAGGUGUGAGCACCACGCCCUGGAUGGCCUCGAGCCUGGCGUGCACACGUCUCGGAGAGCCUGGGCGAGCAGAGGGCCCCAGCCCGGGAGGUGAGGCCUGGCCUGGGGCAGCACUGUGCUCCGUGGGCCUGCUGAAGCAGAGAUGUCAGCCUGCAGAAAGAGGCGGGAGGAUGGAGCCAACGAGAGGAGAGAAGAGGCCGGACGCCCCGCGGUCCCUGAGAAACGGAGAGAGUAACCUCCUCGGUUCCUGACCUAAAGUUCUCAAUUCCAGCCCCUUUCAUGAGGUAGGUAGCACGAGCAAGGGCCUGAAGCGAGGUGCACCAUGAUGAGGGACCCCAGGACGUAAGUAGAACGGGGCUUGAAGAAGAUACCACGGAGCUCCUCGCACUCUUGGGACGUGGGAGCCCGAGGUCGCGGGGGCCACGGCAUUUCCUUACCUCUCCUCCCACGUCCUGCCACGUGUGCAUUGAGACGCUGCUUUAGCUGAGCUCCUCCCAGGUCACUUGGACCCUUGACCCUCUGAUCCCGAUGGAGGCCAGAGACCCCCUGCUUGUGGCAAGAAUUCCAUCUGUUUCAAAUAAAUUCGUUGUGAGACCGUG
ensembl:lncRNA